rnacentral:rRNA from 1 species
AUGGACGUCGAGCCGCUGGAGCGGCAUCGCGGCUACCGGGCCGAAAGUCAUGGACGUCGUGCCGUUGCGGCCGCGUUUGCCUGCGAGGCCACAUGCAGAAACGCAGGACGGCGCCGCUGUGGCACACGACGGCGAGCCGGUGCUGGACCGAAGGCCAUGGACGUCGUGCCGAUGGAUGGCAUCAUGGGCGCGUUCGCCUGCGGGGCCACGGGCAGCCAGGCCGGACGGCGCCACUGUGUCGCCCGUCGCGCGCGCCGAGUAGCGCUUCAUCGGAUGGCCUCGGGAUACUUCCGCGUCAGGGACGGCAGCGACGAGCCGAGGGUGCCGUGCGGAUCUGAGGACCGCGGCUGA